rnacentral:rRNA from 1 species
GGACGGGGCCCGCACAAGCGGUGGAGCAUGUGGUUUAAUUCGAAGCAACGCGAAGAACCUUACCAGGUCUUGACAUCCCCUGACAACCCGAGAGAUCGGGCGUUCCCCUUCGGGGGACAGGGUGACAGGUGGUGCAUGGUUGUCGUCAGCUCGUGUCGUGAGAUGUUGGGUUAAGUCCCGCAACGAGCGCAACCCUUAUCAUUAGUUGCCAUCAUUGAGUUGGGCACUCUAAAGAGACUGCCGGUGUCAAACCGGAGGAAGGUGGGGAUGACGUCAAGUCCUCAUGGCCUUUAUGACCAGGGCUACACACGUACUACAAUGGCCGGUACAAAGGGCAGCGACACAGCGAUGUGAAGCCAAUCCCGAAAAGCCGGUCUCAGUCCGGAUUGGAGUCUGCAACUCGACUCCAUGAAGUUGGAAUCGCUAGUAAUCGCGGAUCAGCACGCCGCGGUGAAUACGUUCCCGGGCCUU